AUGGGAAGAGUCACCACCAUGAUGGCACGGUGACAAGAGGGUGAUGAGUCAAUCAAUGAAACAGGUUGCCCAGAAUUGUUGGGGAUGCCCCAUCCCUGGAGAUGUUCUAGGCUAGGCUGGAUGAGUCUCUAGGCAACCUGAGGUAGUAGCUGGCAACCAUCCCCACAAUAUGGGGGCUGGAACUAGAUGAUCAGUAAGGUCCCUUCUAACCCAAACCAUUGUAUGAUUCUGAUUCUAUGAUUCUAUGUGAAUUUUAUCAGUGGUAUAUUUUAGAUUAUAAUCUCACGUAUUUGUUAUCUAUUGAGAUAGAAAAAUAGUAUCCUUGGAUUUAGUUAGUUAGAUAGUUAACUAGCUUUGCACAUUUUUGUUUGAUGAUCCCUAGGUCCUGAAUUGUGAGGAUUUGUCCAAUUACAUUCAAAUACAUCGACAUUUAUGACUUCAGUUUGUGCUUUAUUUAUAACUUCAGACAAUGCAGGGUUUUUUUGUUUUGUUUUGUUUUGUUUUGUUUUGUUUUUCAUUUCUUAGUGAUAUACUUUCACGCUUCACAUGUGCACAUUGAUGUGUACAUUAAAAAAGGCCAAGCAAUAUUUUCCUUUAAAAGUACUAGCUUUUUUCCCAAAACUACUAAGGGAAUUUAGGAAAUUUACUUCAUAGAAUCAAAGAAUUAUAGAAUUAUCAAGGAUAGAAAGACCUUUAAGAUUAUCUAGUCCAACAGACCACCUAUCAGUGAUACUUCCCACUAAGCCAUGUCCCUCAGUACAACAUCUAAAUGCUUCUUGAACACCUCCGGGAGUGGUGACUCCACCACAUCCCUGGGGAGCCUGUUCCACUGCAUGGCCACUCUUUCAGAGAAGUAGUAUUUUCUAAUGUCCAACCUGAAUCUCCCCUGGAGCAACUUGAGGAGGUUUAGAUUGGAUAGUGGGAAAAGAUGUUGUGAAGCAUUAGAACAGACUGCCCAGAGAAUUAGUUGAGUCAGGAUAAUAAUAGCUCAAUUUCUGGAAGUAUUUAAAUGAUGUGUAUAUGUGAUACUUAGAGGCAUAGUUUUAUGGUAGUCUAGGCAGUACUGGUUUAAUAGGUGGACAUGCUGGCCUUUUCCAAGCUCAUAUAGACAGUUCCCAUAACAAAUUAAUAAGUACAGGCUAUAGCUGAUAUCUUGCAUAGUCAGCAUAAAGUAGAGCUAUGUCAUGGUUUUAUGAUUCUUAUUGGUAUUCCACAUCAUGUAGUGCACUGGGAGCUAAAGGUUUAAUGCUCCAAUUCUGUGAAUUGUUGAUAUUUCCAUGUACCUGGUUCUCAGAGGAGAAGAACUACAUAUCACAUAAGACUUAACUCUUCCAUUUCUGUUUUCCAUUUAGAGGGAAAGAGAAAACGGCUCGCAAGUCAUCAGACUGUCCUUCCUUUUUUUACCACUCUUUUCUGCUGUG
ensembl:lncRNA